rnacentral:rRNA from 1 species
UACGGGGGGGGCAAGCGUUGUUCGGAAUUACUGGGCGUAAAGGGCUCGUAGGCGGCCAACUAAGUCGGAUGUGAAAUCCCCAGGCUUAACCUGGGAACUGCAUCCGAUACUGGAUGGCUUGAAUCCGGGAGAGGGAUGCAGAAUUCCAGGUGUAGCGGUGAAAUGCGUAGAUAUCGGAAGGAACAUCAGUGGCGAAAGCGACUUCCUGGACCAAUACUGACGCUCAUGUGCGAAAGCGUGGGGAGCAAGCAGG